rnacentral:rRNA from 1 species
UAAGACAGAGGGGGCAAGCGUUGCUCGGAAUUACUGGGCGUAAAGGGCGCGUAGGCGGGAUGGCAAGUCGGUCGUGAAAUCCCUCGGCUCAACUGAGGAUCGUCGAUCGAUACUGCCGUUCUUGAGGAUUGCAGAGGAGACUGGAAUUCCCGGUGUAGCGGUGAAAUGUGUAGAGAUCGGGAGGAACACCGGUGGCGAAGGCGGGUCUCUGGGCAAUUCCUGACGCUGAGGCGCGAAAGCGUGGGGAGCAAACGGGAUUAGAUACCCUGGUAGUCCACGCCGUAAACGAUGGAUGCUAGCCGUUGGCAGGCUUGCCUGUCAGUGGCGCAGCUAACGCAUUAAGCAUCCCGCCUGGGGAGUACGGUCGCAAGAUUA